UACGAGGGGGGCAAGCGUUGUUCGGAAUUAUUGGGCGUAAAGGGUGCGUAGGCGGUCUGAUAAGUCAUCUGUGAAAUCUAUGGGCUCAACCCAUAGUCUGCAUCGGAAACUGUCGGGCUUGAGUAUGGGAGAGGUGAGUGGAAUUUCCGGUGUAGCGGUGAAAUGCGUAGAUAUCGGAAGGAACACCUGUGGCGAAAGCGGCUCACUGGACCAUUACUGACGCUGAGGCACGAAAGCUAGGGGAGCAAACAGG
rnacentral:rRNA from 1 species